rnacentral:lncRNA from 1 species
AAGAAUUUUCCUCCUAGAGGAUAUGAUGAAUAGAAAUUGUUCAAUUCUUAAUAAGAUAAUUUCAUGAGUUCCAAAAGAUUUGCAUAAUGAUGAAACCACAGAGUGUUCAUCUUCAUCAAUUGUACCACAUUCAGCGAGUCAGAAUAGCACAUAAGUUUUCUAUAGCCCACUUCUCAAUAUAUUUUGAUUCCUAUACAAAGAGCUUGAAUCACAGUAUGGAGAACAAUAGAGAUCCCCGAGCUGGCACUAGCAAAGAAACCAAGUUGAUAAUUGCCAUAGUGCAUACAGAUUAGACAAUUAUAACCCUCUUUUAUUGGAUUUAUCAACACACUUGUAUCAACC